GCAGACGCUCUUAUCCAGAGCGACUUACAAAUUGGUGCAUUCACCUUAUGAUAUCCAGUGGAACAACCACUUUACAAUAGUACAUCUAUAUCUUUUUUUUGGGAGGGGGGGGUUAGAAGGAUUACUUUAUCCUAUCCCAGGUAUUCCUUAAAGAGGUGUGGUUUCAGGUGUCUCCGGAAGGUGGUGAUUGACUCCGCAGUCCUGGCGUCGUGAGGGAGCUUGUUCCACCAUUGGGGUGCCAGAGCAGUUGCUUGGCUCUAUUUUACCUAUGCGUUCGUGGAGGACGGAGGAUGUGGGCAGUUUUAGUUCUAUUUCACCUCAUAAGCGUAUGCUCAGUCCGUGCAAAAUGAUUAUCUCAGAAUUGCUCUCGAAGGAUGAUGUUUUUUGACGUUGUCUACCUACUGACUACUUACUGCUUCAGAGGACCGAAAAGACUGGAACGAGAACGCUCUUUCUUUACCCUAUAUUGUAUUUGUCUUUAUAUAAGAAAAUAUUUUUAAAUAGGAAUAAAUAAUUGAAGCUGUUUUUAGAUAGACAUUGCUAGCUGCUGUACUUUUUUACCUCAGCCUGCCUAGUCAGCUAGAUAGCUAACCAGAGCUUUAUUUAGCUAAUGUUAGCUAGCUAGCUAACUGUUAUUGUAGCUUUCUGUUUGUAUGUGGCUUACACUUCAAUAGCAUCCUUCGAGGACAUUUUCUGUUAUCUUUCCAACUAGGCGAAGUACUAUGAAGGCACCACUGAUCUUGACAAGAGGCACAACAUUCGUAGGGGGCAGAGGUUUUCCCAAUUCAGGGCAAUUACAUGUACCUACGGUGGAAGGAUGGCCAGCCACAUGGGAGGGUGAUUUUCACUGAGGAGAAGGGUGCUGUGCUGACCGAGAUGCACGCUGGCCAUUUCGGAGUGAAGCACAAGAUUGCCAAAAUCAACCUACGCUUCUUCUGCCGUGGGAUUGUCAAGGAUGUGGGCAGCUGGGAAAGUGGAAUAACCUUUUGUUUAUCAAUCACAUUCUAUUAUAUCUGAAAUGAGAGCACACAAUGUUUCAAUUUAUAACUUUGUACUUAAAGGUCAGUACCUGUCUAUCCUGCCAGAAGUUUGAGAGUGUGAAGACUGUCGCCGGAGUUGAAGCCCAUCAGUUGUUUCACCAUGGCACAUGAUCGGAAUGGCAACAGCUGGUGUCUGACGGCGACCGAUUACUUUACCAAGUGGGGGGAGGCAAUCAAUACCCAUUAAGGAUGAAACUGACAAUACCCAUUAAAGAUGAGGCUAGCGAGGCCACCUCCAAGGCAAUGAUGGACAUCUUCAACACCCACGGUUCUCCUGAGGUCAUCUUGAGUGACCGACGUCGUGAACUCUGGAAUUGUCACAACUUCCGCCGAAGUCGGUCCCUCUCCUUGUUCGGGCGGCGUUCGGCGGUCGACGUCACCGGUCUUCUAGCCAUCGCCGAUCCACUUUUCAUUUUCCAUUUGUUUUGUCUUUGUUUUCUACACACCUUGUUUCUAUUCCCCAAUUACAUGUUCAUUAUUUAACCCUCUGUUUCCCACAUGUUAGUGUGCAUGUUUAUUGAUUGUUCAUGUCGGUACUUGUCGGCUGGUUAUGUUUGCCGGGUUAUGUAUUUAAGCCCGUUAUUUUCGAGUGACCGGUAUUUCUCCGCACCCUGAGUAUUGUCUGUAUACUGGUGCUGUCGUGGAAUUAAAUACCUUGUACACUCAUUUCUGCUCUCCUGCGCCUGAUUCACUGCACCAGUUACCCACCGCCUGACAGGAACAAGGUUUGGAUGAACGGACCAACCAGACCCUCAAGACUGACAUGGGAAAGUCCCUUGAUGGGUACCAGGAAUGAUGGGAGGACAAGCUGAAGAUCACUGAAGUCCCACCUGAUGUGGUGGAAGUUGUCUAGAUCAGAACGCCUUCGAGGACCCCCUUCAGGCACAGGUGAGAUUGAACAUCGACAAGGCGCAGGAGAAAAAGAAGGGGAGCUACCGGAGGAGAAUCAAUAAAGGGACGAAGUGCUUCGACAUCCGGGCAAAUUACUUGGUUUGGAAGAAGAACGAAAGGAAGGCGAGACCUGGCUGGGGUUGCCAUCUGUUAAGAAAACAAGAACCUUCUCCAGUUGUAGCAGUUACACGGUCGACCACUGAAAGCCCCGAGGCCCUACACUUCAGUGAAGCACAAUAGACAAAGACCAUUGACUGUCUGAGUCAUCCAGGAGGUAUCCCAUUCACUGGAGCCAGUGAAGUGAAGUCAGAGGGGGACCAGUGAAGUUGGAGGGGGACCAGCUUGAGGAGACUAAACAGGAGGUGGAGGCGGUGUCAUCCUCAAAGCUGUGCGGAAUAAGGUCACGGAUCUCCAAGUUCUUCAAGGAAAAAGCCAGAGCCAGGGAGUCCUAUAGUAGCAUAAACAGUGGAGGACAAUGCACCCUUCUCCUUUGUGAGACCCCCAUGUACGAGAUGAAACAGUGUUAUAAACCAAAUAAAAAUGUCUUCGUCUUGGCAGCCCCACCG
rnacentral:lncRNA from 1 species